GGUGGCAUUGCUCAGUGGUAGAGCACUUGCUUAGCAUGCAAGAGGACCCAGGUUCAAUCCCCAGCAUCACCA
rnacentral:tRNA from 1 species